rnacentral:lncRNA from 1 species
AUCAUGGACUCGCAGACCGGGGCGCCGUUGUGGAUGAGCACUGGUAUCUUCUUGUGCACCGGGUUGGACUUGAGGAGAAGCUCGCUCUUCUUGUACAGGUCCUCCUCCACGUCCUCGUAGCUCAGGCCCUUCAGGGCGAGUGCCAGCUUCACCCUGGUAACAAACGGGCUUGGCCAUGUGCCGAGCAGCUUCAGGUCAUCUCGUCCGGCCAUCUCUAACUACCUCGAUCGAUGUUGUGUGUGUGUGUGUGUGUUUUGAAGACCUUGUGCUUGUGCUUAUUUUCGAUGGAUGUGUUUUGAAGACCUUGUGCUUGUGCUUAUUUUCGAUGGAUGUUUCACAGGUGGAUAAACUGUUUAUAUAGUGUCUAUGGACAACAUAUGUAUGCGUCAUCCCUGAUGCUACUUCGAGGACAGUGUCAUCCGUGAUGCCUGGGCGAUGAGCAUAUGAGCCUGUGUCUACUAGUCCGGCUAUGAAUUUUUAAAACUUUUACUAAAAAUCAGUUUCCUUCAAUCAUGCUUGACUGGAGAUGAGCCUGUCUUAAUUACUAGUAUUUUUUAUGCACCACCUGCUGAUGCCUCCCAUCGCGCAAGCCCUUCCGUCAGCACACCGUCCAUCCAGAUGUCAAUUUUUCGACUUUGCUGCGAGCAGAUGAUUAAAAAUACCGUAGCUACCCUCGUUCGGAAUUACUUGUCAUAAAAAUAGAUAUAAAAUAAAUAUAUUUAGAACUAAAAUACGUUCAGAAACAAUCAUUUCUUCGUCAAGUAUCUCCCGAUGGAGAGAGUAUUUACAAUAAAAUUCGCCUCAUUUGUCACUAAAUGUGGAGGUUGUAUCUGAAUUAAAAUUUCAGUUCUGCUAAAGCACAUCUAGAUGUGCUCUAAGGAUUGCACAUCUUAGUACUAUGUCAUUGAUUUUAUCUAAGACUCAUGCAAGCAUUUCUUUUGUCUUUUUCCUUUCUUUCUAGUUUAAUUGACUCGCUUAGAUGUGCAAUAAUUAGGGCAGACAAAACCUUAAAAUUUCAAUGACAUAAUUUAAAGAGACCACCUAUUCAACGGUUGCCUUUUUUUUGUUGCUUUUCGUCGAUUUCGCUCAAUCCAAACCUUCUGAAGAUUCUUCUUGGCCAGCUCCAGAUCAAGGUUGAGGCUGAUCUGUUUCUUCUCCAACUCAGCAAACCGGGCCCCGAGCUCACAAGAUUUCUGCGGUCAGCAAACAAGGCACGUCAGUCUACAGAAACAAAGGUUAAUCUCAGCAAAAAAAGUGUUCUAAGACUACCGCUGAAUCAAAAUAUUCAACAGUAGUCUCGCGGACUACGCCAAGUGGAUGCACUUGGCGUGCCCCUACUGGUCCAGUUUACCACUCAGCAUGGUCUGCCAAGCAUGAGUAUGCAAAAAAAUAGAGGGAUUCAAAGACCACAGCCGACUACCAGCAGUCGACCGUGGUCUCCGGGACUACACCUAGUUGGUGCACUCUGCGUGCCCCCGCUGGUCUGGAUUCCACUCGAAACAAGCUAUUCAACCGAGUGAAAGAACAAUGAAGUGACAUUCGACAAAGACCCCCGUCGAAUCAAACAUCCGACGGCGGACUUCGGGAUCAAAUUGAGAGAUCAGUCUGAAAUCAACUGACCUUGACAUUAACACGCAGAGCAGAGCUGGCGUUGUGGGCAGCCUGGCUGGCCUCGUGCACCACCUUCAUCUGCUCCAUCAUAACGUUUGCUUGGAGUAUGGCUUCCUUGGCGGCACCCGCCGGGUCAUUUGGAGUGUGAUGUGCAGCAAAGAGCGACGAUGGCAGUACAGUCAGAGCAAUCACAGGAUCUGAAGCAUGGAACUGUGUAGGAGAAGCAGAGACUUGAGCAAUCGACGCCGAGGGAUGGUCAGUCGACACAAGAUUGGCAAAAGAAAUAGUGGCCCGAGUCGGAUCUCCGAAUCACUGGACCACCGUCUCUGGUGCCGAUGUCGACUGAGGCUCCUGGCCUACAACCGUCCUCCCGCUCGAAGCCCUGCCCCUCCUUCCUGUAUUCUUCUAAGGCGCUUCUUCAUCGUCGUCUGGAAGUUUAAUGACGUCCCGUGGGGCUACACAAAAUGCAACCAUAGAGGCUCAAUUGACCAGCAAUUCAGUCGACAAAACAAGCACAAGAUUACAGGAUCGUACCAGCUUUGGAAGUUGCCGCAUCUUCAGUCUCCUCAUCAUCUUAAGCCUUGUCAAUAUCCAUGGAAGUCCCGGAAGUUGCAGCACUGAAAAAUUCAUAGCCCACUCGGUCAUAGCUGAAGUAUGAGUCAGUAGGAGAACACAGAGACAGAACACUCACGCAGAAGCGACGGGAACGUCCAUCUUGAUCCUGGGCAAGGUCUUCUGAGGCUUUGAAGGGGAAACCUUGGGCUGCUUGGUGACCUUUUCUGACGGCUCCGGUCCGAGUGCGCUUAUGCACUUGCGUGCUCGGAGCCACAGCCUUGUUGCGGCCUCCCGCUGGAUCAUGAGACUGCUUGGAUCGGCGCUCUGUGCGAGGUGGUGAGUCGACCUCCUCUUCUUCGUCGUCUGACUCAUCACUCUCUUCCUCAUCAUCAUCAUCAGAAGAUUGCCAGUCGGCGCUCUCCUCUGCGCUAUCUGCUUCCUCCUGGACUUGCUCCUGGGCUUGCUCCCUGUUCGACAUCGAAUACAUCUUAGUAUAGACCUGCAAGGCAAGAAGUUAAUCAAACAUCAGUCAUAUUCAAAGACGGUUGCAAGACAGAAUGAAGUACACUCGGUAAUAAGGAUCGGACCUUGUCCGGCUGGUUGUCAACGUUGAAUGGAUCGACUUUCCUGGCCCCCCUAGGGUUAUCUUUGUUUUCGGUAAUGCUCUUCAGCCACAGGGCCACCAUCUCGUCGGGGACCUCCUCUGGGUGGACCCGAGCGGUGUCAUUGGAGCCCAAGUACAUCCACAUCGAAUGAUCACGGGCUUGUAGCAGCUGGAUGCAUCGACUGAGAAACACUUCCAAUAAAUCCAUGUCAGUUACGCCCUGAGGGACCAACUGAACUACCCUCUCGACUAACAUGUUUGUCUCUACUCUCUCCGCUUUGGUCACAAUCAGUGAACAAGGUUGCUGGACUCGAUCUAGGGUAAAGGGAGGAAGAUCGGUCGACUGACCGGGGGUCGGAAUGUCUCGCAGUAGAACAAGGUCAACUGCCAGCCCCUAACCGACUCAGGAAGGGUCAAAGGGGGAAAAGUGCUCCUCUUCCUCAUCUGAAUCCCUAAACCCCCGCACAUUUGAAUCACAUGCAUCCUCUCGUCAGUCGGAUUUUCCUUCUUCACGGUUUGGGAACGAACUGUGAAAAUAUGUUUGAAGAGACCCCAGUGCGGUCUACAGCCCAAGAAGUUUUCGCACAUAGAAACGAAUGCAGCAAGGUAUGUGAUGGUGUUGGGAGAGAAAUGGUGAAGCUGAGCACCGAAAAAGUUCUGAAACCCUGUAAGAAAGGAUGCGGGGCAAGGGAGAACCCACGGUCGACAUGGGUGGCAAGGAGGACGCACUCACCCGCCCGCGGCUGAGGCUCUAUCUCGUCCCCCGGCAGCCUCGAAGUCCCGUCAGCAAUCAAGCCCAUGGAGGCCAGAUCUUCCAGAUCCUCUGGCCGGAGCGUGGAUCGGAUCCAGUCCCCCUGGAUCCAACCAGGCGGCAUCCCAGACCUUGACGAUGAUCCCCGACUCGUUUUCUUGCCCUUCGCUGUCGUCGUCGCUUUCUUCGCUCACUCCAGUGCCGCCGUCUUAUCCUUCACCACUGUGGCAGGCUGCGCACGGGCGGAGCGACGGCGUCAAGGGCGAAAGAGGACGCGGUGGAGAAGCAGAGGAAGAAGAAGGGGAAUGGGAGUGCACUGUGCAAAUGCAUCGGCCUUGACACCUUUUAUGGGCCUACUUCCGAGUGGCUGACGAGUGGGCCCGAGCGAUCCUGUCAAAUCCCGCAAUAGUCACGCACCGAACACGCGGCGAAAAAGGUGGCAUAGAAAUCGAGGCGCCCAUGUCUAUCCGUCCCGUUUACUGUGGCGCGCUCCACCUCGCGCGCUUCCCCAAAUUUUCAGAUCCCGUGAGAUCCGGGAACCGCAGUAACCAAUCGUGCCGAAGAUUUCACACCAUAUCAACACUCGAAGGUUGCCAGCAUAAGUUCAGUCGACGACCUCUGAAUCGAUCAAGGUGACUGAAAUGAAGUCGAAGUUUCAGCAUGAACCUCGAGCUCAACAAGAAUGCCUAUGAAGCAUAAGAGUCAAGUCAAGGUCAACUUCAACUCGCUAUCGGACCUCAAUCCAUUCGGGGGCUAAUGACGAUGCCAUGAACCUAUGAUAGGGUCAUAGGUCUGACCUAUACGCCCUACCCAAGGUCAGUACCCUAGAGUCAAGGACAUUCAAAGUAUAGCAAGAAGUACUGACUGAAGCCGUCGAGUGCAAUCCACUCGACCAGUCACCUCACCCGGAUACCCCAAUUUCACUCGACCUGGAUGGAGUCAUUUGACCAUACAGGAAACCACUCGGAGUACAGAAGACCUAGAGUCACUCAUGAUGGCAACGGUCAGGCGUUCACUCUGUAGUCUUAAAGAUCAUUAAUAGCAUUUUAUAGCCGGCGUUACCACUAACGCUCUGUCUUAAUGUACAUUGAACCCCUGUAACGGAGGACGCAUGGGGUCCUGGCGCAGUGUAUAUAAGCCACCCCCUCCUCUGGGACAAGGGUUCGCACCCCUUGUAACACACCCAUAUUCCAGUCGACCGUCUUAGGGCACCGAGACGUAGGGCUUUUACCUCCUUCAAGAGGGGCCUGAACUCGUAAACUUGUGCGUACAAUCUCGCCGUAACUAGGGCCUUGCCUCCUCAUACGUACCCCCUACUCUUACUGUCAGACUUACAACCACGACAGAUAGUUAGUGAUAUUCUAUUUAAGCUAAUCUCUUGUCUCUAUCUCCCCUUGUAGUCCUCCUGCGGUUAGCCUGGCUGCCGAAUACUGUAACCUACGAGAGACAUCUCUCGAUCAGAUCAAUAUAAACCAAUGUGAGUCCUCUAUUUGAGAGUUGAGAUGCUUCCACAAUCUUCACAUGGUAAUCAAAGCCUCCCUCUUCCACUGCAUCUAGCAACCAUCUUCUCAAUCGCAUCAUCCAGCCUCCCAUCUUCCCAUCACACCCACUAUUUCUUUCUCCAGCCAAACUAUCUCCACCAGCCUGAACAAUACCAUCUCCGAGCCUCUCACAAGAACCAACUAUAUUCUAUCGUGAGCCCAAGCUCGCUCCCAGAUCAUGGGGACAGGGCUAUAUGGGUAUGUCGAUCAAACCAUUGCCGAGACACCAAAAACCAUUGUUACCAAAACCUCCGAAGGGAAGGAACAAACCGUUCCUAAUCCGGCCCAUAGCCCUUGUCUUACUCAAGAUGCAGCGGACAUUCGGACAAGGAGGACGCAGAAUAAGUCCGGUUGUGUCCGCUUCGGACCCAAAUCUGACCCAAUUUGCAACGAAAAUGGGUCCAAACGCAAACAAAACGAACAGAAAAUGGGAAUGGGUGUCCGCUUGGGCAUCUUUUUCGUCCGGGCGGACAUAAACGGAUGCGGCCGGACCAAAUGGGUCGCCGCAUUGGAGAUGCUCUAAGAGAUUGGAAAUUUUCUAUGGACCUACCCGCAACCAUGCUAGGUAGUAGUAUGAUGGAUUGUUUUCGGUAUGUCUGUCAUCUGAUCAUCGAUGUAUGGUUGAGAGGCAUUUGGUUCUCUUUAGCGAAUUACACCAAAAUAUAUUUUCCUAGACUUUCGACUGCUACAAAAUUUAAGCCCCCAACUUGUUUUCUACUCUGCAUUGAGAGGUUUGGGGUCUUGCCAAAAGUUGGAGGUGUUGGUGCUAUUUUUAUUUUAUUUUAUUUUUCAAAAAUAUAUAUUUUAUUUUUGAGGUGGCUGACCAAAUUACCUCGAUUGAGAAGUCUUUCAAGAAAUCAUUUUUGCUGGAUUGAGGCUAAUCCGAGGGGUUUUGCGUGCCUCUUUUGAAACGUCUUAUGAACUACAACAGCAUGAUUGAUCAACAAACGGUCACUCAAAUAUAUCUGCAUUUCCAUAGCAAAGGUGCGAAGAAAUAUUGACUAUUUCUCCUUUACUUGGUCUAGCCCAAGUAUCACAACGAUGAAUGAAAUAUAUAUAAAUUCAGACCAAAUUUACCAUAAAGCAAUUUGUAAGCAUUUUGCUGGUAGAUUAAAAAAACUGUCGAACUCAUCUCUUGAAUCAGAAAGAGAACCUCAGCUAAUACAUGCACGCAUUAUAAAAUUUGCGAACUCCACACAAAAGCAAAAUAUUAAAAACUCAAGGACAUAAUCAACACUGAAUAAAUGGACGACAUGAGUUACUGCUACAUUAUUACAUCAAGCAGCCAAACAAACAACAUUUAAAAAUAGCAAAUUUUAGUUAUUCUGGAUGUGUGCUGGCUCAGUUAGACGGUGCAGCGGCAGCCUCUCGUGCCUUGGCGAACUCAAGCAGCCUGCCCACGUCUGGCAGGGCCACCUUGGCCGCGUCGAGCUCGCUGAAGCGCUCCACCCAUGCGGCCAGGAGCGGGGUCUUGGCGGCAUCGAAGAUCUUGUCACCGGACAACACCUCGGUCACCUUCAUCCACGACAGCACGCCUCCCAGCGCAACGUCGACGAGCCCGAGGCCGUCGCCGCCGAAGAAGCCCCCUCCCUUGGAGCAUUCCCUCAGGGCCCCUUCAAGAAUCUCCACCGCCGCGAACGCCUGCUUCUUUCCCUCGGAUUUCUCCUCCUCUGUCUUGCCACUCAACCACUGCCUUCAUGGGGCUACCAGCUGAAACACGGAGAAAAAUAAUGGUCAAAGUUGCUCGUUCGAUAUCUAAAAGUAAAGGAACGGAGACAAGUAGUGCAAGUAAGUGAAGAUAAUUUAAACUUUGUCGUCAACGUAGGCCAUCCAGAAGCGAGCAAUGGCGCGCUCGUAGGGGUCCGCUGGGAGAAGGGACGGGCCGGUGCCGGCGAAGACUUCGUCAAUGUACUGCAGAAUGAUCAUGGACUCGCAGACCGGGGCGCCGUUGUGGAUGAGCACUGGUAUCUUCUUGUGCACCGGGUUGGACUUGAGGAGAAGCUCGCUCUUCUCGUACAGGUCCUCCUCCACGUCCUCGUAGCUCAGGCCCUUCAGGGCGAGUGCCAGCUUCACCCUGGUAACAAACGGGCUUGGCCAUGUGCCGAGCAGCUUCAGGUCAUCUCGUCCGGCCAUCUCUAACUACCUCGAUCGAUGUUG